UAGGGAAUAUUGGACAAUGGGCGCAAGCCUGAUCCAGCCAUGCCGCGUGAGUGAAGAAGGCCCUCGGGUUGUAAAGCUCUUUUGUCCGGAAAGAAAAGCAUUCGGUUAAUACCCGGGUGUUCUGACGGUACCGGAAGAAUAAGCACCGGCUAACUUCGUGCCAGCAGCCGCGGUAAUACGAAGGGUGCAAGCGUUACUCGGAAUUACUGGGCGUAAAGCGUGCGUAGGUGGUUUGUUAAGUCUGAUGUGAAAGCCCUGGGCUCAACCUGGGAAUGGCAUUGGAUACUGGCAGGCUAGAGUGUGGCAGAGGGUAGUGGAAUUCCUGGUGUAGCAGUGAAAUGCGUAGAGAUCAGGAGGAACAUCCGUGGCGAAGGCGACUGCCUGGGCCAACACUGACACUGAGGCACGAAAGCGUGGGGAGCAAACAGGAUU
rnacentral:rRNA from 1 species